rnacentral:rRNA from 1 species
UUGAACGCUGGCGGCAGGCCUAACACAUGCAAGUCGAAUGGUAACAGGAAACAGCUUGCUGUUUCGCUGACGAGUGGCGGACGGGUGAGUAAUGUCUGGGAAACUGCCUGAUGGAGGGGGAUAACUACUGGAAACGGUAGCUAAUACCGCAUAACGUCGCAAGACCAAAGAGGGGGACCUUCGGGCCUCUUGCCAUCAGAUGUGCCCAGAUGGGAUUAGCUAGUAGGUGGGGUAACGGCUCACCUAGGCGACGAUCCCUAGCUGGUCUGAGAGGAUGACCAGCCACACUGGAACUGAGACACGGUCCAGACUCCUACGGGAGGCAGCAGUGGGGAAUAUUGCACAAUGGGCGCAAGCCUGAUGCAGCCAUGCCGCGUGUAUGAAGAAGGCCUUCGGGUUGUAAAGUACUUUCAGCGGGGAGGAAGGGAGUAAAGUUAAUACCUUUGCUCAUUGACGUUACCCACAGAAGAAGCACCGGCUAACUCCGUG